rnacentral:rRNA from 1 species
AAGCGUGCGCAGGCGGUUAUGUAAGACAGAUGUGAAAUCCCCGGGCUCAACCUGGGAAUGGCGAUGGUGACUGCAAGGCUAGAGUUUGGCAGAGGGGGGUAGAAUUCCACGUGUAGCAGUGAAAUGCGUAGAUAUGUGGAGGAACACCGAUGGCGAAGGCAGCCCCCUGGGUCAAAACUGACGCUCAUGCACGAAAGCGUGGGGAGCAAACAGGAUUAGAUACCCCUUGU